CAGUCGAGCGAACACUUUUGAUGAUCCUUCGGGUGAAUCAUUUGUGACUGAGCGGCGGACGGGUGAGUAACGCGUGAGUAACCUGCCUCAUACAGGGGAAUAACAGUUAGAAAUGACUGCUAAUGCCGCAUAAGCGCACAGGACCACAUGGUCUGGUGUGAAAAACUCCGGUGGUAUGAGAUGGACUCGCGUCUGAUUAGCUAGUUGGUGAGGUAACGGCCCACCAAGGCGACGAUCAGUAGCCGGCCUGAGAGGGUGAACGGCCACAUUGGGACUGAGACACGGCCCAAACUCCUACGGGAGGCAGCAGUGGGGAAUAUUGCACAAUGGGGGAAACCCUGAUGCAGCGACGCCGCGUGAGUGAAGAAGUAUUUCGGUAUGUAAAGCUCUAUCAGCAGGGAAGAAAAUGACGGUACCUGACUAAGAAGCCCCGGCUAACUACGUGCCAGCAGCCGCGGUAAUACGUAGGGGGCAAGCGUUAUCCGGAUUUACUGGGUGUAAAGGGAGCGUAGACGGCUUUGCAAGUCUGACGUGAAAAUCCGGGGCUCAACCCCGGAACUGCGUUGGAAACUGUGAGGCUUGAGUGCCGGAGAGGUAAGCGGAAUUCCUAGUGUAGCGGUGAAAUGCGUAGAUAUUAGGAGGAACACCAGUGGCGAAGGCGGCUUACUGGACGGCAACUGACGUUGAGGCUCGAAAGC
rnacentral:rRNA from 1 species